AACCUCUCUUAGCCUCUGUUUCUUUACUGUGGUAGAUACUAUUAGCCUUCUUAUUUUAGGCUAAUAGUAUCUACCACAAUAAAAUUGUUGUGAUGAUA
rnacentral:pre_miRNA from 1 species